UACGAAGGGGGCUAGCGUUGUUCGGAAUCACUGGGCGUAAAGCGCACGUAGGCGGAUCCUUAAGUCAGGGGUGAAAUCCCGAGGCUCAACCUCGGAACUGCCUUUGAUACUGGGGAUCUUGAGUCCGGGAGAGGUGAGUGGAAUUGCGAGUGUAGAGGUGAAAUUCGUAGAUAUUCGGCGGAACACCAGUGGCGAAGGCGACUCACUGGCCCGAUACUGACGCUGAGGCGCGAAAGCGUGGGGAGCAAACAGG
rnacentral:rRNA from 1 species